CAGCCGCCACGGUAAUACGUAGGGUGCAAGCGUUGUCCGGAUUUAUUGGGCGUAAAGCGAGCGCAGGCGGUUCCUUAAGUCCGAUGUGAAAGCCCACGGCUCAACCGUGGAAGGUCAUUGGAAACUGGGGAACUUGAGUGCAGAAGAGGAGAGUGGAAUUCCAUGUGUAGCGGUGAAAUGCGUAGAUAUAUGGAGGAACACCAGUGGCGAAGGCGACUCUCUGGUCUGUAACUGACGCUGAGGCUCGAAAGCGUGGGGAGCAAACAGGAUUAGAUACCCGCGUAGUCCCUGUCUCUUAUAC
rnacentral:rRNA from 1 species